rnacentral:tRNA from 1 species
GGAGAGGUGCCUGAGUGGUUUAAAGGACUGGUCUUGAAAACCAGCGUACGUGCAAGCGUACCGUGGGUUCGAAUCCCACCCUCUCCGCCA